AGGUGUUCUCUGGUGUAGAUAUUUAAAGCAUUGGCUUGGUAGAUUAAUUGCAGAUUUGUAUCAUCAAAGAAAUCAUCUACUACAAGCUGGGCUGCACGAAAUUUGUGAAUAUCCUCCACUGUUGGUGCCACAUCAAUUGUUGGGUGAGAAAAUGUAUCAUGACAAAUGACUCCUAUACCAGGUUGAGGAUGAGAUAUAAGAUUAAAGAGAAAAUUCUGGAUAGCUACUUGAAGGGAAAGAUGCUUAUCAUGCUGUAACUUGAAGAUUUUAUCUUUACAAUCAUGAGUGUAUUACCACUUUGAGGUGGCACACCACUUUCUGCUCUUUGAGUACUAGAAGAUGAAGGCCU